CCUUGCCAGUGAUGAUUUUAGUUAUCCCUGUCCGACAACUUGAAUUUACAAUGGGGAAGAUUGAAGUCUGAGGCAAAG